rnacentral:rRNA from 1 species
GACGCUGGCUGGAGCUACACAUGCGGUUAACGCGCCUUCGGGUGAGCGCGCGGACGGGAUAGUAACGCGUGGGAACGUGCCCUUCUCUACGGAAUAGCCUCUGGAAACGGAGAGUAAUACCGUAUACGCCCUUUGGGGGAAAGAUUAUCGGAGAAGGAUCGGCCCGCGUUAGAUUAGGUAGUUGGUGGGGUAACGGCCUACCAAGCCUACGAUCUAUAGCUGGUUUUAGAGGAUGAUCAGCAACACUGGGACUGCGAACACGGACCAGACUCCUACGGGAGGCAGAGGUGGGGAAUCUUGGAGAAAAGGGGGCAAC